rnacentral:rRNA from 1 species
AGAACGAACGCUGGCGGCAUGCCUAACACAUGCAAGUCGAACGAGACCUUCGGGUCUAGUGGCGCACGGGUGCGUAACGCGUGGGAAUCUGCCCUUGGGUUCGGGAUAACAGUUGGAAACGACUGCUAAUACCGGAUGAUGUCUCCGGACCAAAGAUUUAUCGCCCAGGGAUGAGCCCGCGUAGGAUUAGCUUGUUGGUGAGGUAAGAGCUCACCAAGGCGACGAUCCUUAGCUGGUCUGAGAGGAUGAUCAGCCACACUGGGACUGAGACGACGGCCCAGACUCCUACGGACGGCAGCAGGUGGGAAUAUUGGACAAUGGGCGAAAGCCUGAUCCAGCAAUGACCGCGUGAGUGAAGUAGAAGGUCCGUUAGGUUAG